rnacentral:rRNA from 1 species
UACAGAGGGUGCGAGCGUUAAUCGGAAUUACUGGGCGUAAAGGGUGUGUAGGUGGUUGUGUAAGUUAGAUGUGAAAUCCCUGGGCUCAACCUGGGAACUGCGUUUAAAACUGCAUAGCUAGAGUACUGUAGAGGAUAGUGGAAUUUCCAGUGUAGCGGUGAAAUGCGUAGAUAUUGGAAGGAACACCAGUGGCGAAGGCGACUAUCUGGGCAGAUACUGACACUGAGACACGAAAGCAUGGGGAGCAAACAGG